UACGUAGGGACCAAGCGUUGUUCGGAUUUACUGGGCGUAAAGGGCGCGUAGGCGGCCUUCUAAGUCGAACGUGAAAUCCCUGGGCUCAACCCAGGAACUGCGUCCGAUACUGGAAGGCUUGAAUCCGGGAGAGGGAUGCGGAAUUCCAGGUGUAGCGGUGAAAUGCGUAGAUAUCUGGAGGAACACCGGUGGCGAAGGCGGCAUCCUGGGCCGGUACUGACGCUGAGGAGCGAAAGCGUGGGGAGCAAACAGG
rnacentral:rRNA from 1 species